rnacentral:rRNA from 1 species
CAACGUCAACAUGAUGCAAAGAUCUUGACAAUAAGAAGCGACAACGGCACCGAGUUCAAGAACUACACCUUGGAUGAGUUUCUUAGUGACGAGGGGAUCAAGCAUCAAUAUGCGGCACCUUAUACCCCUCAACAAAAUGGUGUUGCGGAGAGGAAGAACCGGACGUUGAUGGAUGCGGCAAGGACCAUGAUGGCGGAGUUCAAGUCUCCAUACAACUUUUGGGCCGAAGCCAUCAACACAGCAUGUCAUGCAUCCAAUCGGCUCUAUCUUCGCAAAGGCUUGAACAAGACUCCUUAUGAGAUCCUCACCGGCAACAAGCCCAACCUCAAGUACUUUCGAGUGUUCGGUUGUAAGUGUUUCAUUCUCAAGAAAGGUGUUCGGUUGUCUAAAUUUGAAGCUAGAGCUCAUGAGGGCAUAUUUGUUGGUUAUGCUACAAACUCUCAUGCUUACCGUGUCCUCAACAAGUCCACCGGACUCAUCGAGGAGACGUGUAACGUGGAGUUUGACGAAAAUAACGUCUCCCAAGUCGAGCAAAGUGGUACUUGUGAUAUAGGUGAUGAAAUUCCUCCCCAAGCCAUAAGAAGAAUGGGUAUUGGUCACAUCCUACCCAUUGAGGAACCCCUUGUGGCCGAAGGAGAAGGACAAUGCUCUACUCAAGUAGAGCCAUCACCUCAUCAAGACCCACAUGCUUCCGAAGAACAAUGUGAAGGCCCUCAACCUCAUGAACAAGACCAAGGGCAAGAUCUACCUCAAGACCGUGAUGAACCACUAAAUGAUGCCCAAGGUCAAGUUCUCCCCCUCGAGCUAGUUCAAGAUCAAGAUCAACCUCAAGAUCAAGAACAAACUCAAGACGGCGCUCAAGAUCAUCAAGUCAACCCUCCUCCUUCCACACCCGAGGAGGAAUUAGAGCGUCGUGCCGCGAAGAUUGCUUCCAAG